CAUAUGGUUUUAUUGAAAUUAAAUAAACCGAUCAUUUCAUUCCUUAUUUUGUAAGACACUAAUUUUUCAUCCCUAGUUUCAGAUGAUAAGGGGAAAUCAUAUACAUGUACAUGUGUACUUGGAGCUAUGUUCAUCGGUCAUGUCUGUACAUUAUGUGUUCUUACAAAAUGUAUUUUGAUGAAAGUGAAAUGAGAAAAAAUUUCAGAUCUCCAUUCGUAAGAUUGUAAUCAUUUCAUUACCGAUCAUUUGGAAACUUAUAGUAUUAUGGAAAAUUGCAGCAUUUAAAGAAUCAAGACUUGAAAACUAAAAG
rnacentral:lncRNA from 1 species